AUUGAACGCUGGCGGCAGGCCUAACACAUGCAAGUCGAGCGGAUGAAGGGAGCUUGCUCCUGGAUUCAGCGGCGGACGGGUGAGUAAUGCCUAGGAAUCUGCCUGGUAGUGGGGGAUAACGUCCGGAAACGGGCGCUAAUACCGCAUACGUCCUGAGGGAGAAAGUGGGGGAUCUUCGGACCUCACGCUACCAGAUGAGCCUAGGUCGGAUUAGCUAGUUGGUGGGGUAAAGGCCUACCAAGGCGACGAUCCGUAACUGGUCUGAGAGGAUGAUCAGUCACACUGGAACUGAGACACGGUCCAGACUCCUACGGGAGGCAGCAGUGGGGAAUAUUGGACAAUGGGCGAAAGCCUGAUCCAGCCAUGCCGCGUGUGUGAAGAAGGUCUUCGGAUUGUAAAGCACUUUAAGUUGGGAGGAAGGGCAGUAAGUUAAUACCUUGCUGUUUUGACGUUACCAACAGAGUAAGCACCGGCUAACUUCGUG
rnacentral:rRNA from 1 species